rnacentral:rRNA from 1 species
CCCCUUAUGUCCAGGGCUACACACGUGCUACAAUGGCCGGUACAAUGAGUCGCAAGACCGCGAGGUGGAGCCAAUCUCAAAAACCGGUCUCAGUUCGGAUUGGAGUCUGCAACUCGACUCCAUGAAGUUGGAAUCGCUAGUAAUCGUGGAUCAGAACGCUACGGUGAAUACGUUCCCGGGCCUU